rnacentral:lncRNA from 1 species
CAGAUUAACCUGGCCUCCGCUGGUGACGAGCUCUCUCCACAUCAUAGGCUGGGCAUGCAAAGGACCCCAGUUUUCAGUGGUUUAACCUAUGAAAUGCGCGAGGAAGCCUGCAGCAUCUGUGUUCUGUCCCCAGGUGGGUUCCUACUUCUGCUAAGUAACAGAUGAGAUUUGUCACUCUCGGCUUCCUUUCACCCUGCCUCCAGGCUUCCCCAGGGCCUGGCCCAUGGCUGAGAUGGGAACAAAGACAAAUGAGAGUGGGCAAGGUGCUGGUGGGCUUCCUGGACACAAUGCUGCAUCCAGGCAGCUCUGCCAGCCUGAGGUCCUGCAUUCUGCCUCCAGGGCCACCACCCUGCCCUCUGGAUGGUGUGGCAGAAGCACAGCCAGAUUCUAAGAUGGAGAAAGAAGCCUGAAGUGUGGGUAGGCCAGGGGAUGAGGGCAGGAAACGCCUCAAAAGGCACCCCAUUCCCUGAAUAUCUCUUGGUUCAACCACUGUUAUGGCCUGAAUUGUAUUCCUCCAAAUCCUACGCCGACGCCCUCGUACCAGGGUAAUUUGGAGAUAGGAUGCAUAAGGAGGUAGUUACUGUUCAUUGAGAUCCUUAGGGGUGGAGCCCUGGUCUAUUAGGAUUAGUGUCCUUACAAGAAAAGACACUAGAGAGCUUGAUUCCCCCCUCUCUCUCUCUUUCUCUCUCUCUCUCCCCCUCACCUCUCUUUCUCGUGAGGACACAGCAAGAAGGUGGCCCCAUCUGCAAGAUAGGAAGACAGAUCUUCCCAGAAACCGAAUUGGCCAACCCCUUGAUCUUGGACUUUAGCUUCCAGAACCGUGUGAAGACCCAGCCUGUGGUAUUUUGUUAUAGCAGCUAGAUUAGGCUAAUGCAACCACUAAGAUGUCAGUUGCUAACAGGUCCAAGCGACCUGCAGUUUCCGCCUGCUUCCUGUAAUGAAUUUUCAUCUAAUCUGAGCAGCCACUGGGCCACAAUAUCACCCUGCAAACAUGAUUGCAAAAGUGCCAUUCACGGAGAAUUUGCUCAGGGGAGGGGUUCCUCUGCCUCAUCCCUUCCAAGCCACGCAUCUGGUGAAGCCUGGAAGCUUCACAGGUCAGACCACAGCAGUUUCCUGGAAGCCAGCCAAAGCCUGGCUGCCCUGCAGGCAGUGUGUGCCAGGAGGCUUGAUUCCAUCUGCCCAGACCUCCCCUCUGCCUCUGCGUUUGGCCAUUGGAAACACGCCCCCAACGCUGCACUCUCACAGGUAUCAUAGCCCAUGGGCCCUGAGCAACCCACACAGGUGCAUUCUGCUCACCUUCUCAUCACACAAAUGCGGUUGUGGAGAUCCUCCCCCUGCCUCCAUGAGAGUGUUGUGUGAACUAGUUCUGGGAACCCCUUAUUUUCUCUUUGGCUCCCAGACACAAAGAAGAAUAAGGCUUGCUUACAUGCCUAGGACAUUUCUGAGCUCUGGUGCCC